GACGAAGGGGGCAAGCGUUGUUCGGAAUUACUGGGCGUAAAGCGCACGUAGGCGGCCAUUCAAGUCGGAUGUGAAAGCCCCGAGCUUAACUCGGGAACUGCAUCUGAUACUGUUGGGCUAGAGACCGGGAGAGGAUAGCGGAAUUCCCAGUGUAGAGGUGAAAUUCGUAGAUAUUGGGAAGAACACCAGUGGCGAAGGCGGCUAUCUGGACCGGUACUGACGCUGAGGUGCGAAAGCGUGGGGAGCAAACAGG
rnacentral:rRNA from 1 species